rnacentral:rRNA from 1 species
CUGCUAUCGGAUUGAUACUAAGCCAUGCGAGUCAUUGUAGCAAUACAAGGCAUACGGCUCAGUAACGCGUAGUCAACCUAACCUAUGGACGGGAAUAACCUCGGGAAACUGAGAAUAAUGCCCGAUAGAACAUUAUGCCUGGAAUGGUUUAUGUUCCAAAUGAUUUAUCGCCGUAGGAUGGGACUGCGGCCUAUCAGUUUGUUGGUGAGGUAAUGGCCCACCAAGACUAUUACAGGUACGGGCUCUGAGAGGAGUAGCCCGGAGAUGGGUACUGAGACACGGACCCAGGCCCUAUGGGGCGCAGCAGGCGAGAAAACUUUGCAAUGUGCGGARAGCACGACAAGGUUAAUCCGAGUGGGUUUCUGCUAAAGGAACCUUUGUCAGUCCUAGAAACACUGAUGAAUAAGGGGUGGGCAAGUUCUGGUGUCAGCCGCCGCGGUAAAACCAGCACCUCAAGUGGUCAGGAUGAUUAUUGGGCCUAAAGCAUCCGUAGCCGGCUCUGUAAGUUUUCGGUUAAAUCUGUACGCUCAACGUACAGGCUGCCGGGAAUACUGCAAAGCUAGGGAGUGGGAGAGGUAGACGGUACUCGGUAGGAAGGGGUAAAAUCCUUUGAUCUAUUGAUGACCACCUGUGGCGAAGGCGGUCUACCAGAACACGUCCGACGGUGAGGGAUGAAAGCUGGGGGAGCAAACCGGAUUAGAUACCCGGGUAGUCCCAGCUGUAAACCAUGCAAACUCAGUGAUGCAUUGGCCUGUGGCCAAUGCAGUGCUGCAGGGAAGCCGUUAAGUUUGCCGCCUGGGAAGUACGUACGCAAGUAUGAAACUUAAAGGAAUUGGCGGGGGAGCACCACAAGGGGUGAAGCCUGCGG